GACAGAGGCCUCGAGCGUUAGGCGGAAUCACUGGGCUUAAAGCGUGUGUAGGCGGAUCGUUAAGUACCUUGUGAAAUCCCACGGCUCAACCGUGGAACGGCUGGGUAUACUGGCGGUCUUGGGCCAUUCAGGGGCGACUGGAACAAGCGGUGGAGCGGUGAAAUGCGUAGAUAUCGCUUGGAACGCCGAAGGUGAAAACAGGUCGCUGGGGAUGUGCCGACGCUGAGACACGAAAGCCAGGGGAGGCAAACGGG
rnacentral:rRNA from 1 species